UACAGGGGGGGCAAGCGUUGUUCGGAAUUACUGGGCGUAAAGGGCUCGUAGGUGGCCAACUAAGUCAGACGUGAAAUCCCUCAGCUUAACUGGGGAACUGCGUCUGAUACUGGAUGGCUUGAGUUUGGGAGAGGGAUGCGGAAUUCCAGGUGUAGCGGUGAAAUGCGUAGAUAUCUGGAGGAACACCGGUGGCGAAGGCGGCAUCCUGGACCAAUUCUGACGCUGAGUGAGCGAAAGCCAGGGGAGCAAACGGG
rnacentral:rRNA from 1 species